UACGUAGGGGGCUAGCGUUGUCCGGAAUCAUUGGGCGUAAAGCGCGCGUAGGCGGCCUCAUAAGUCCGUUGUGAAAGUCAAAGGCUCAACCUUUGAAAGCCGAUGGAUACUGUGAGGCUAGAGUCCGGAAGAGGCGAGUGGAAUUCCUGGUGUAGCGGUGGAAUGCGCAGAUAUCAGGAGGAACACCAAUAGCGAAGGCAGCUCGCUGGGACGGUACUGACGCUAAGGCGUGAAAGCGUGGGGAGCAAACAGG
rnacentral:rRNA from 1 species